AGCUAAAUAUCUAUAAUGCCUCAGCAUUCGUAUACUUUUCCUCUCUGUCCCGUUUAAACACGGUCCUGAAAAUGUUAAAUGGCAAAGGAGCCCGCAUCUCAACGCCUGAACUGGCCGUGUUUUCAUCCUUCUGCAGUCAUUUUUAUUCCGCGGGUUGCCAUUGAAUAAUCACGCAAUCUGAAUAUUGAAUUAUUUUCUAAUCAAACUAGUCAGGUCACGUGUGAAAUUUUAGCUGCGGACCUUUGCAGUUCCAUUUUAAGUAACGUUUUGGAAAAAAAACAGUGGUGUGAAGCCCAGUCAAAACACAACUUUUUUGGAUUGAAUCAAAAAAAAAUUGGAUUAUGGAUUUUAGAAUAAUACUUAAGGAAAACAACCAGAACACCACGGAGCAGGCGACUAUUUACCAAGAAGAAAAAACAGUCGACUACACAAUCACGUUUGUCAUAGGGUCUUGUGUUCUAAUAGCAUUUUUGCUACUUGGAGUGGUUGCCAGCGCUUAUUUGUGCGUAACUUUGAAGAAAGGAAGCUUCCUGUGGGUUACAGAUAGUAAUAGACAAUUAGCUAAGGAUAAAUGCGAGGAAAUCGGACAAAAUGAUAAAGACAGUAUUAGUUUGAAAGAAAUGAAAGUCCAAAGUAGUGAAGAAACGACACAGGUUUAAUUUUUGCCUGGACGAUAAACUAAAAAAUUAUAUAAUAUCUAUAAGUUUUUUCAAGAUGCUUUGAUUUGUGUUACUAUAAACCCACUUCACACAUUUUUGUAAUUAUAUUUAUUAUGUCCCGCGCCAGAAUAUGUUUGAUUGAAGUUUAUACCAUGGAGCAACACUAUUUAAAACUGUUACCAGACUACUUUUUUGGUCUUCGGGGUGACAGCAAUAGAUUUGGUCACUUGAACUUGAAAAAGAUAGUUUAUUCAUAUACACAGCUAGCAAAUACUUUACUGCUGUAUCUCUUCCUUAUAACUGCUACUAAGUGGCUUUAUAUUAUUCUACUCUACAGGCUAAUUCUGUACUAAUGUGUAAUAUGUAUAUUUAUCUGUAAACACAUCAAUUCGGGGUUAUGAUGAAAAUAAAGAACAAUUUGUCGUUGACAAUAUUGACAUUUCGAAAAAGUGCGUUUCGACAUUUACUGGAUCCUGUUGAAUUUAUCGUUUAUCCUUAUUGCCACUUUCUGUAUUCCUCCAUGGUUACUGUAGUUUUCAAUAAUAACAAAUUUCGAAUAACUCUGUAUACGAGUAGUUUAAUCUGCGGGCGUUAGCUUGGAGUUAGAAAGGGAAAUGUUUCUGCCGAGGUUAAUUGAAGUCUGAUAGAAGCUCAAUAGAAAAGUGAUUUAGAAGCCGAAGAAUGUUCUCGAAAUAUCUUUCGAGUCUGAAAGACUCUGAUGAUCGGGAUUUAGUUUCAGAACCGAGGAUCUGCCCGAAAUUGGCCUGGUUUUGUCAUCCCGUGCAAAACUUGUCUUUAUCUAUGAUCCCGUGGUCUCUAAUAAUAGUCUCUAUUAAAAACUGUACACUUUUGUUCUUCGAUGCCUUGAUGUGGUCGGAAAACAUCAAAGAUGACUUGAAAUAUUAAAGAAUGAGCGCAAAACUGGUAUUUCCGAUGAGGACAGUUUUGUCUGUUAUACCUGAUAAAGACGAAGUUGCUACCGUAAAAAUUAAAUUUCUAAAGUAUUGUGUAACGUGCGGGAUAACGGGUAGGGUAACUGAUUAUCCCCGAGCCAGUUUGUUGCAUUGGUUGCUUUUCUGUGACUGUUUAAGAACGGUCGUUAUUAAGUGAUUAAUAAAAAUACUUGAAACUUUA
rnacentral:lncRNA from 1 species